GUGGGGAAUAUUGGACAAUGGGCACAAGCCUGAUCCAGCAAUGCCGCGUGGGUGAAGAAGGUCUUCGGAUCGUAAAGCCCUUUCGACAGGGACGAUGAUGACGGUACCUGUAGAAGAAGCCCCGGCUAACUUCGUGCCAGCAGCCGCGGUAAUACGAAGGGGGCUAGCGUUACUCGGAAUUACUGGGCGUAAAGGGCGCGUAGGCGGCUCUGUUAGUCAGGCGUGAAAUUCCUGGGCUUAACCUGGGGACUGCGCUUGAUACUGCAGGGCUUGAGGCCGAGAGAGGGUGGUGGAAUUCCCAGUGUAGAGGUGAAAUUCGUAGAUAUUGGGAAGAACACCGGUGGCGAAGGCGACCACCUGGCUCGGUUCUGACGCUGAGGCGCGACAGCGUGGGGAGCAAACAGGAUUAGAAACCCUUGUAGUCC
rnacentral:rRNA from 1 species